rnacentral:misc_RNA from 1 species
UUUUGAUCAUGUAGAAAUCUAAACACAGAAAUAUAUAGAUGGUCCUCUAGAUAUAGCAGAAUGUGUAGAACAAAAUUUUAAGUGAGAAACAAUGUUGUGCAGUACUGCAAUUUGACAGUAUGGUAAAGGUAUUACCCAGUUAAGGUCCAACGGAAAUGGGGCCUUGACGGAGAAUUUGAACAAGUCCUACCCUUUAGCAUUCUUGCAGAAGUGACUACUCUCAAGACUUGAACCUGCACCCUUGUGCUUGCAAGUCUUAAGACUUUUAACAGUAAAUGUCUUUAUAUUUGAGAACAUCAUAUAAAAUAUAUUUUAAAUUGUCCAGCCACCAAAUCACCAACUUAUUGGUUAACUGCACUUUGCAUUAUAAGAAGCACCACAACCAGAAUAAAGUUUCAGAAAAAGAACCUUUGCUUCAGUUAAAAUUGUAACAAAAUUGCGAUAAGAACUAUCCAAUAGAAGGUGAAAAAGAAUAGUGUGGAAACCUUCUCAAUAAGGUCCAGAAUAUCUUGGUUAUCAACAAAAUCUAUGUAGCUCCAAUCAAUUUCCUCUUUUACAUACUCUUGUUGAACCAUCUUGAACACGUGCUGAAUGGCACCACAACCACAAAGAUUAUACAGUGACAGACAUAAGCAUUCCAAAGUAGUCAAAUAUGACUACCCUCACGCCUGGUUGAAAUGUUGUUGCAGCUUUUCAUUUGUUAAAUUAAUGCAAAACUGUUAAAAACAAUGAAACAACCGAGAAUAUAUUGUCUUGGCUAAACCAUCCCUGUUUACUGCUGCACCAAGAGGAUCUAGACUUUUCUUGAUAAUUUCUUCCGGGGUUAUCAUUACACGCUGACAUAAUGCAUCCUCCAAUGAAUGAGGAUCACACCUGAAAUAAGUAUAAGACUUAUUAAUGCCACCAUUGAUGUACGAAUUAUGAAUCUAACUGUGACCUCAAGGCUUCAGUCACACAUGAGAAGCUCUGCUGUCAUUCGAAGAUGAAAUUUGGACUCAUCUUUUACGACUGAUGUAUCAAUGUCUUCCUCCUUUGCAAAAUCAAUAUUACCAAGAUGAACAAUAGCAGUCACAAACCCUGCCUCAAGGACAUAAUAUCACUCUCAUUAUAUAAAUUAUAACAAAAAAUCUAAAUUAGGAAAAUAUGAAAAAACACAUAACAUGAAAAGCAUAUAAUUUGAUAGACACAGGAUCUGAAAUUUGACAAACUCGAGAUCUCUUAAGAAGGUAAGUUCUGAUGGCCGCCCUGAUAUUCUUCCACUCUCAUCAAAUUGAAUUUCAACAAAUUUCCCGAAACGGCUGGAAUUGUUAUUUCUAACAGUCUCUGCAUUGCCAAAUGCUUCAAGAACAGGAUUUGACAUUCUAAUUCCGAGAAGGACGAUUCUGACUCCAAUGCUGCACCGAAUUCACAUAAAUCGCCGUACCGUGAUCUUUCAGUUAUCCAACUCAGAUGCCAAAACGACGUAAGAUUCUUGGUGAAGUAGAAGAAUUGAAAGGAAGGGAAAAAGAAAGGAAAAAAAGAAAAGGAAGGGGAAAGGUACGUGUUCUUGGGAUUUUUCAUGGCUUUUUGAUGUAUCAAAAAUUUUUUGGGUAAUGGACAAUUGAUAAAAUUGAUGAAACUAGUAUCAAAUUGCAUGAUUCUAAGUAUCAAAAAAUUUUGGAAUGAUGAAUCGUAGUUGAAUUUGAUGAAAUUGUAUGAAUUUUUUUAAUAUUAGAACCUUAUGGGUAACGAACAGAAUUGAUGAGAACUGACGAAGAUGGGUAUCAGGAUUUUUUGGGGUAGCAAAUAAUUGAUAGAAACUAUUAAUCUUGGGUAUUGGAUCUUUUGGGUAACGAAUUUUGAUGGGAAUGAUGAAAUUUGUGUAUCAAAAAUUUUUUGCAUAACGUACAUUUGAAAAAAAUGAUAAAUUUUGGCAUUAAAAUUUUUCAGGUAAUGCACCUCUGAUAAAAUUAAUAAUGUACUGCAUGAUUAUUGAUUGUACCAUGUAAUUGCUUGAUGAUACUUGUGAAUUGAGCUUCUAUGAAUUUUUCUGGACCCUUGAUGUUGAGAAAAAUGUUGAUCACAUGUUGAACCUUUGUAUUGUGUGACACAAAAUUUGUAAACCUUGAAUAACAUCAUUAAUUUUUAUGAUUUGUGUGCGGUGUUAAGAAAAUUUUAUUAAAGCAAUUUAUAUGAGAAAAUGCUGCCAAAAUUUCUGUAGGACCAAAUUUGCACCUUAUAACACCAAAUUUUUUCUUCCUCAAUGGAAAAUUGAUAUCCACUACACAAAACUAAUACUUUUUGCUUCUUGAGCAAUUCUGGACCUAAUUGACUUGUGGUGCCAAUAUGAACUAUUUAUUGCUUGCCCAAUAAAAACAAGUUGUAAAAAUAUAUUUGUAUAGUUGUACCAAUUAAUUUUCAUUGCACAACACCAUAAACUCUUCAUUAUUUCUCAACUGUACUCCACUAUAUCCUGUACUAAUCAACUCUUAGGCUUGCCCAAACACUUAGAAAGCACAACUUCACUUCAUCAUACCAAGAUUUAGUCCACUUGUAUCAGCUUAAACCACAAAACCUUCCAGCACAUUCAAAGAAAUCAAGCCAUCUCAUAGAAACAAAUAAUGCAUCACAAAAGUACUUUCUCCAAAACCCAAGAAUACUUUUAAAAAAUUCUAGCAAGGCAAUCUUAUGAAGCACAUACCAAGUUCUAGAAAUUUAAACCUCAAGCCACACUGCAAUUCAACCUAGAUACCGCAACCUACUUCCAGUCAUUCAACUUUAGCACAUAAAGCACACACAUAUUCUACCAAGAUCUCAUUUUUGCCUUCAUUUUAGCUAUGCCCACCAAAAAUUAAUCUAGCAUAGCUAAAAUCCUUAAAAUAAUGAAACUUUAGGGCAAUGAGAGAUACCUUUCAAGCUCCAUUAUUAAUUAUGCUUGUACUUUCAUAGCUAGAGUUAUGUUGGCAUUUCCACCGGUACCCUUGAUAGACAUCUUUCCAGCCAGUGUUACCAACAUGGACAGGAAUUCAUCCAUCAAACCUAAUAAGUAUCAUUUGUCCGUUCACUACAAGAAAAAAGGGAAUUUAAAACCGAAAAUUUGGUUUCAAAUCAGUGAAAAUCGAUUUCUAAUUGCAAUUAGAAACUAAUUUGAAACUGAAAUAUUCAGUUUACAAUCCACUGGUUUCUAAAUAAAUUUAAAAUGGAUUAUGAAAUUCGUUUCAAAUUCUGAAACCAUUUUAAAACAGACAUUUCCGUUUUUAAAUUAGAAACCGAAUUAAUUCUGUUUCUAAAUUCUUUUCAAGUUAGAAACUGACACUUUUUUGUUUCUAUUGACCUGAAAUGGAUUUCCAUUUCUAAUCAGUUUCUAACUUGUAAUAUUAAUA